GUCUGUUUCGCCUUCUUUUUGCGGGUCGCGCAUAUCGCGAUGAAUCUGCCUCUGAUGACUGUUUUGUGUGCUUCCCAGCUUGUCAGUGGGGUGACGUCGUCUGUCUCGUUGUCUGUGAAGUAAUCCUGUAUGUGGUGGUUGAUUUGGUCUACGACCGAGAUGUCUGAAAGAAUCGAUUCGUUCAGUCGCCACGACAUUUGUCUGGGUUUGUAU